AUCACUUCUUGGCCUUUUGGCUAAGAUCAAGUGUAGAAAGUAUUCGUCUUAAUCCAGCCUAUAAAUAAAAAUUAUUUUUAAUAAAAUGAAAUAUUUUAAAAGAUCUAUGUAUUUAUUUUUGUGCACACGCAUGCCCGUGUGUGUGUGUGUGUGUG
ensembl:snRNA LOC120098015 U2 spliceosomal RNA